ensembl:miRNA Mir1954 microRNA 1954
GAGGUCAGCCAGAACUGCAGAGUGAGACCCUGUUGUUUGUUUGUUUGUUUGAGACGGGGUUUCUCUGUGUAGCCCUGGCUAUCCUA